AAUAAUUGAUAAAAAUCCAGUUUCAGAGAUCUUCACAGACUGGUGUGGGGAAGUGUGAGCUGGGAAAUUGCCCCUGAGUCUUCUGACCCACUGACCCUGUGUCAGCAUCUGCAGAAGGAGGAGCAUUUUACAUCUAUCAGAGAGGCUCCUGGACUGGUAAUGUUACCUGACCGCCUGCCUUUCAUUGGUUCAUCUGGGACUAAAUCCACAGCCAAGCCAACCCCCUCCUCUCCAGGUCUCUGGCACCCCCACCAGUCCAGUCGCAGAAAGCGUAACAGACAGCAGAAGACUUCUUUCUCCUCUGACACUCACCCUCAUCCAGGACCCUCCUCCAUCCUCCUCUCAGACGCCACCAUGACUCCUUGGGGAAGGCUGGCUCUAUCUGAGUCCUGCUUUGACUCAAUUCCCAAAAUACUUACUCCACGACCCUCUCCACCUCCACCCCCAGCCUCUCCUGUUCCCGAGCAAAUACCAUCAGCUACCCCAUAUCAUGGCAGGAGACAAGAAGAAGACAAAGACAGUUCAGGCUCAAGUUUUAACUCUCAAAUUCCAUCUCCACCUGUGGCAGUCACGCAAAACAGCGCAGGUGGAGCAGCUAAAGAUUUGCAGCUGAGGCGGAGGGUGUUGCCUCAGUGUCGGCUUCCUCGUGCCCCCCGUCUCCCACCGCUUCACCCCGUCACUGACCUCAGUUUCUCUCGGAGCUUCACUUUCUCCUUCUUCGAGCUGCCGCUGCACCAGUCUCCUCGCUGGCGUGCCGAGCGUGUCAAAAACCUCUUAUUGCUUUUGAAACAGAUACACUACUGAAGACGCAGAGCUGCGUGUUCCUACUGAUAGUUCAAAUCUGCCUUUCUUGAGUAUAUUAUUGUAUUAGUAAAAUGUGAUAUUUUAUUUUCAAAGUAAGAGUGAUGGGUGAGGGAUUUUUUUUUUUUUUUUUGGCACAAUAGGAUAAGACAAUAAGACUGCAUGUUAUUCUAUUCAUUCUGUGUUCAUUGCUUUUCGAGAGCUGGAUUUUAUUUGUUUGAUGUUUUGAAAUUUAUUUAAAAAAUAGUUUCUAAGGGUGUGAGUUCAUUCCUCUGGUUUUCAGCUCCACAGCAAUUUACUUACGUUCCUGUUGUGUGUAUUGUGUUAUGCGUUAUGUGUGUGUAUAUUUAUGAAAUAAAAACAACUUUACUAUCAUUCUAGUUGCUCUGUUUUAUCAGCUUUCUCUGUUUUAAUGGCUUCUGUUUCAUACAGAUAGACCUCCUGUAGAUUCUCAUUUACUCUAUAA
ensembl:lncRNA